UAGUAACCGUUUUCUCCCUUCUUAUCUGCCAUCCAUCACGCGUCCAUCCAAACAGUUGCACUCCCUCUCCCCCUUCCCCUUCUCUCUGCUUCCACUCCCAUCUCCACCACUCUGCUAAAGCUAAACCCCACCGACAAAACUCAACGACUGCCUGCGCCUCCCAUCUUCCCACCCCGAAAAUCCGCCAAACAGUGACGGCAAUCAAUCGAAGUGCUCCAAGUCAAAGAACCCAGGUCUUAUCCCUGCAAAGUCAUAUCUCUCACCUCAAAUCCACUAAAUCUUGUCAGCGUGAAUCCCUCCUUCUCCUGUUUCUAUGGCUUGAGGGACCAAAAGUCUCACCCUCUCCACUGUUAUCUUGGAGGAGAGGAUAACAAGUUCAUGUUCAUCCCUCAUGCCUUUCGAAUCAGCCUGAAAAAGGGGUGAAUCCCUAUCUUUACUCUAUUUUUUCAUAACCUGUGGAUCCUCCCAUCAAUAAUUUGAAUUUUGAAUUCAGUUUGGAGUUUCCUUGAGAAGCUCUCACACUCUAGAGUGUGAUUAUAAAAGGGGCUAUGGCCAUUCCUUUAGGGGGAGGAGAAAAAAUUUGGACAGCAGAAAAUUUGGGGAAAAAAGGAAAAGAUUUGGGGAAAAGGGGUUGAAAUAUUUGGAAAAAGGAAAUAAAAGAAAAACGAGGGAAAAAGGAAGCAAGUGAGGCGAAAAGGGAGAAAAUGAGAAAAGUGGAAAAGUUUUUUUCGGAAAUUUCCUUUUAUUUGGUCGAAAUUCAGAGUUUGGAGUCGAGUUCAUCACUGAAAUUUUGACGGAAAAGCCUCAGUCUUGCUGCCCAACAUAAGAUUUCAAAUUUCUCCAAAACGCGAGGUAUAUUUAUAUAUAUGCGCUACUGCAUACAAGGUAUCUCUAUAUCAUCGUUCAUCAUUCAUUACUAUUAUUUCUACGUUAGUCCAACUAUAUUCACACUCCGCAAAUUAAAUUUAUUUAUUUUAAAAUAUAGUAAAUAAAUGAACAUUGGCAUGUUUUUUUAUGCAUUGGUCUAUUUAAUCAGGAAUUAGUACAUCUAGAUGCCAUUUAUAUUUUAUUUCACACUAAAUGCAUUUAUAUGAAUUUAUUCUCGAACACGAAUUGCUUUUACAUUUGUAGGUACGAAUAAUGAUGUUUAUAAGAAGAUAAAUUUUCACAUGAUCUUGAAAUUAUAAUUGCUUUACUUAAUCACUAAUUCACCGAUAUAUCUAUCCUUAUGUGCUACUAAACUUUACACUUACCUAAAAUUAUAAGCCAUUGAAUUUCAAAAAAUACCAAUGUCAAAUUUUCCCUCUCAUUUCAUACCCUUAAAAUGCACAUAUAUUUUACAAUAAAAUAUAUCCUUGUAUACUGUGGUAGUGUAUUUUUAUACCUCGCAUUUUUUUUCGAAAUAAUAAAAGUAUUUUACCACUAUCUUAUGCAAAUAAUGAAGUAAUAAUAUUUUCAAGUAUUUUUCUAAACUAGGUGUAACGACUAUUUUCGGAUAGACUCUGAGGACUGCCUAACACCAUCUCUUCGAGUAACCAAAAUCCUUACUCAGAAUCUCAAAACGUUUUCGAUAAGACUAAAACAGAGUUUCUAUACAUAAAAAUAGUUUUUUCCUAAUUUUUCUAAAAAGUUAGGUGGCGACUCUAAAAAAUGAAUUUUCAAAACCCAAGUCACAUUAAACACGUAGCUACCAUACGUUAUGUGCUGUUUCGACUGGUUCGAAAUAGGGCACGACAUCUAUAAUAACAAGAUUGUAUAUUAUUGAAAUUCACUUCAUGAGUUCUCAUGUUUCAUUCAUAGUUUCUAACAAUCCAGUUGUGAAUAAUCCUGUCAAUGAUCAGUCAUCGUUGGAUGACAUACCCUUCUUUACUGAGUCUCAAUUAGUUGUUUUUGAACCAAUAUUUAGAGUAUUGGAAACACCAAAAUCACAUAUCGCUACGCCUAUAAUGUUUGACAAAGCUCCAGUAGGUAUGUAUAACCAAUCUGACACAAGCUCCCGAAGAUGUCCAUUAUACUUCAAGAACAAGCAUCCGUUUCAGGAAUAUAUUGGGUUUGAGACUCCGAAUUUGUUGAUCCAACAGUUCACUGAUUGGUGUUACCCAAAUUCGAAGUCAAGAGGAAAAAGGAGUGUUGCAAACAUUGCUUUACAGAAUAAGAUAAUUCCUGAAUUUUUAUUGGCUGACAUAAAAAUUGGAGAUAAAGAUUGAUUCCACACCUUGAUUCACACUGGACGACCAUGGAAUGAUGAGGUAUGCUUUUUUUUUUUUUAUUUGGUAUUGAAUAAUUUUUUCAGGUUUAUUUUGUGUGUAGAUAGCAGUAGAAAGCAUAGUCUUUCUGAAAAUUUAACUUUGCAGGACCAUACAUAGUUUCUUGAGUCUUGAAGAUUACACUUCUAUGGCUACUUAAUUCAGUUUAUAAGCCUUGAAAAUUACACUUCUUCUAUGCAUGCCUGCUUCAUGAUUCUGUUCACACUUCUUCUAUGCAUUUUGCUUCAGGAUUCUGUUUACACUUCUUCUAUGCAUUUUGCUUCAUUGAUUCUAGAAAUUAUUUGAACCAUUGAACAUUAUGUAAUUUCCAUCCUCCAUAAAUUUUAUAUCUUCUCUAUCAUACCACGAGAUAUUUCCUGUAUAAACCAGUGUAUUACUAGCACAAAUCGGUGUAUUUCAUUGGAUAUUGGUUGUUUUCUGUAUUAGACAUAGACGUCUAUAAGUUUAUAAUUUAAUAAUGGGAGGUGCUAUCCAUUCAAAGAGUGUUUAAGAUUAUGUUCAAUCUCUUUCUACCAUGAUACUUAUGUUCUUGGUUGCCACUAAUUUUUACGGGAAACAUUCGGAUAUUGACUGGCAUUGGAAAGUUGUAUACAUUGAUAAAUCACUGAGUGAACCUUUGAAGUAUGUCAUUUUGAAGGAUACACCACAGCAGGGACCUCAAUCUAAUGACUGUGGUAUGUUUGUAUGAGCCUUUGCUGAGUAUGUUAGUCAUGGCAUGUUUGAUAUCUCCAGUAGAAUAUUUGGUGUUGUCAACCAUCGACUCAGAUAUGGUGCACUAAUAUGGAAUUAUACUAGAUGGAAGCAGAAUGAUGGAGCAAUCAGUGAAAGUGAGGCAAUUGAAAAUGUUACAAGCAAGCAUGGUGGUUUCAAAAGAUUUAGGGAGCAGUUUAGAAGUUCAAGGACACGAUAAUUCCAGUCACAAAAUAUUACAACAGUAGUUGUUCUUAUUUAGUUCUUGUGUUUUUUGACGGAUGUUUUGAUAUUUGAAAGUAGUAGGAUCUUUUCUAAUUGUUACCAAGAUAUCCAGAAUUUUUUUUGUUACUCUAUAUUGAUUUUUGGUUCCUUUUGGUUGAACUUUAUUGAUGUGAUGAAGUAAAGCAACAGUAUUUUUAGUUGGGAAAGUUCUUGUUCUUGUAUUAGUUCUUGUAGAUUAUAUAAUUUUUAACCCAAUUUGAUACUUG